rnacentral:rRNA from 1 species
GGCGCGCAAAUUACCCAAUCCCGACACGGGGAGGUAGUGACAAUAAAUACUGAUACAGGGCUCUUUUGGGUCUUGUAAUUGGAAUGAGUACAAUUUAAAUCCCUUAACGAGGAACAAUUGGAGGGCAAGUCUGGUGCCAGCAGCCGCGGUAAUUCCAGCUCCAAUAGCGUAUAUUAAAGUUGUUGUGGUUAAAAAGCUCGUAGUUGAACCUUGGGCCUGGCUGGCCGGUCCGCCUCACCGCGUGUACUGGUCCGGCCGGGCCUUUCCCUCUGUGGAACCCCAUGCCCUUCACUGGGUGUGGCGGGGAAACAGGACUUUUACUUUGAAAAAAUUAGAGUGCUCCAGGCAGGCCUAUGCUCGAAUACAUUAGCAUGGAAUAAUAGAAUAGGACGUGUGGUUCUAUUUUGUUGGUUUCUAGGACCGCCGUAAUGAUUAAUAGGGACAGUCGGGGGCAUCAGUAUUCAAUUGUCAGAGGUGAAAUUCUUGGAUUUAUUGAAGACUAACUACUGCGAAAGCAUUUGCCAAGGAUGUUUUCAUUAAUCAGGAACGAAAGUUAGGGGAUCGAAGACGAUCAGAUACCGUCGUAGUCUUAACCAUAAACUAUGCCGACUAGGGAUCGGACGAUGUUAUUUUUUGACUCGUUCGGCACCUUACGAGAAAUCAAAGUGCUUGGGCUCCAGG